CAGCAAGACAUUUGGAUGGUCCUGGGUGGAGUAUGUACCAGGCGAUUGAUUCUUCUGAGUUCAGGCAAAAUUGGAAAGAAUCAAAGAUACAUGAUUUAGCAAAAAAAUAUGGCUGAGAUUGUUCAUAAUCAUAUACUUAAAUGUUGAAAUCUAAGUAUAGGAUCAACUCUUGAUUUUAACCAAUCAAAACUCAAUAGAGUUUCUCACUGGGAUCCUCUCAAAACACCCCAACAACACGACAAAAUUCUCUCUCUUAAAUAUUGCUUUGACCCCACUUCGCCACGUGGUACUUCUCUUGGCGACCUGGUAAAAAGCUUCGUGGCAUCUCCCAGCGCCUACUUUACCCUUUGUCGUCAAUUAGGUGGAUAGAUUGCUUUGCUCUGCCUUUGCGUUCAUCCCUUUUAUUUCUUUUCAACUAGUAUAUGAUUCUUUAUAGUUUUAAACAUAUACUAUGAAGGUGGCCACAGGCAAAGGGUCAUUGAAGAAGGAAAGAAAGGAAGUAUUGAAGCCUUUUGAGGACAGUUUGAUUUAAUUACAGCCAGCUGCAACAUCACAAUUUAACACAAAAAUAAGCUGCUUGUGAUGAUGGUUGUACAAUGUAUUAGAUUGUCUUGGAACGCUAGGAAGGCAAAAGCUGCAUUGAAGGUUGUUAAGAGUAGCAACAAGGGCCAAGAAAGCUCAAUCAGCUAAGAAAGAUCCCAACAAAACAAAGAAGCCUCUGAGUGCAUUCUUUUUUUUUCCUGUAAGUCUAUCUCAAUAUCUUUAUGUUUUAUGUGGAUUACUGUUAUAAGAUCGAUACUAUCUAUCGUGUAAAAGCUGCAGAGAAGAGUUCAGAAACGUUUACUAACAUGAGCAUCCCAACAUAAAAGCUGUCUCAGCUGUCUGCAUAUGCUAAGCAUAUUAUGUCUUUUGUAGUGGAAAGUUUUACAUUGAUAAGACUAUUUAUCUUGAGUGAGAAAAUGAUCUUAUCACUAAA